UGCGACCUCAGAUCAGACGUGACGACCCGCUUAAUUUAAGCAUAUUACUAAGCGGAGGAAAAGAAACUAACGAGGAUUCCCUCAGUAACGGCGAGUGAACAGGGAAAAGCCCAGCGCCGAAUCCCCGCUCGCACUACGGGCGUGUGGAACUGUGGCGUACAGGAGCUCGCACCUCCCGGUGUCGCUCGGGGGUCCAAGUCCUUUCGAUCGGGGCCUCCUCCAUGGACGGUGGCAGGCCGGUGCGGUGGCCCCCGACGUGCCGGGGUCGGGUCUCUUUGGAGUCGGGUUGCUUGGGAAUGCAGCCUAAAGCGGGUGGUAAACUCCAUCCAAGGCUAAAUACGUGCACGAGGCCGAUAGCCGACAAGUACCGUGAGGGAAAGUUGAAAAGAACUCUGAAGAGAGAGUUCAAGAGUUCGUGAAACCGUUGCGAGGUAAACGGGUGGGAUCCGCGCGGUCCGCCCGGAGGAGUCAGCCGUGGCGUCGGUCGCCCGUCUUGGGUGUCGCGGUACCCGUCCCGCGCCCGGACGCCGUCGCGUCACCCGUCCCCUCGUGGGUCGGGUGCGCUUCGACGAUCCCGGUCAACGUGUGGGCGGGCCUCGCCCCUCGGCGGACGCGGCCGCCGCCCGGUGCACUUUCUCCGCGUGCGGUGCGCCGCGACCGGUUCCGGAGGCGGCCAGGAGCGCCUGGGUUUUUCGACCGAGAGCUUUGCGAUUUGUCGAGGCGCCGUGGCGGGGCCUGCGACCGGUGGUCUCCGCGUCGCGCCGCUGCGCGUCGUGGGUGAUCCACCGGGUCCGCGCCCGUCACGGGGGCCUGGCGAGAGCGUUCGCUCGCCCCGGGACCGAGGGAAACGGGACGGAAAUAAAAGUCUGACGCCGCGCCGCGUGCGGGCGUGGUUUCGUGAAAGCGGCCGCGUCUCGCGCGUCCGGGGCGCCUCYGCCGCCCGCCGUUCCGUCGACUGGCGGCGAACUGUUCUCAGUGCGUCGUCGACCGCGGUGCGGCGCCGCGGUGCCGUGCGCCUCCGGCAGGGGCCGUUUCCGCGUCCGCGUGGCCGGCGUGCCGAGGGCUUCGUGCGUCGGUCGGGGCCCUACCUACGGUGGGGGGGCUCGGGUCCUCCGGGGCCCGUCCUCUCCCCGUUCGGGUUUCCCGGCCGCGCGCGCGUCUUCCUCGCGUGUGUCGUGUCGCGCGUUGGCGGUGCGGUCCCCGGCGCUCGGGGUCUGCGGCGAGGGUCGGAAUCCCACCCGACCCGUCUUGAAACACGGACCAAGGAGUCUAACACGUGCGCGAGUCGAAGGGCUCGAACGAAACCCCGGAGGCGCAAUGAAAGUGUGCGGUGCGCGCGCGGUCGGGUCAAGGCGUCCCAUCCGCUCGGCGGCCGGGUCGGGCGGUGCGGGUUCGGGUGCGARCGUGGUGUUCCUCGGGUCCGGUGGCCUCGUGCCGCCUCUCUCCGUGGGCAUCCUCGCUUCGCGUCUCGUCUCGUGCCGUUUCGGCUCGAACCGCCGGCAAGCGGUGAGGGCGCCCCUCGUGCUGGCGCGCGACACCGUCGGGCGGGAUCCUCCCCCCCGUGGCAGGGGCGAGGCGCACCGCCGGCCCGUCCUGCGCUCUCCGUCCGGCGUGAGCCGGCGGAGGCGGACGGAGCCACAGCGUACUUGUUGGUACCCGAAAGAUGGUGAGCUACGCCCGGGCAGGGCGAAGCCAGGGGAAACCCUGGUGGAGGCCCGCAGCGGUUCUGACGUGCAAAUCGAUCGUACGACCCGGGCGUAGGGGCGAAAGACCAAUCGAACCAUCUAGUAGCUGGUUCCCUCCGAAGUUUCCCUCAGGAUAGCUGGACUCUCGCUGGAUGCGCAGUUUUAUCCGGUAAAGCGACUGACGAGAGGCAUUGGGGCCGAAACGGCUUCAACCUAUUCUCAAACUUUGAAUGGGUAAGACGCCCGGCUCGCAGCUUCGGAGCCGGGCGCGCGCGUCGUGCGCCGUGCGCGCGGCGCGUGGGCGAAGAAUGCGAGCUGCCCAGUGGGCCACUUUUGGUAAGCAGAACUGGCGCUGCGGGAUGAACCGAACGCCGGGUUAAGGCGCCGAACGCGAACGCUCAUCGGAGCCCUGGCAAAAGGUGUUGGUUGGUCGAGACAGCAGGGCGGUGGCCAUGGAAGUCGGAAUCCGCUAAGGAGUGUGUAACGACUCACCUGCCGAAUCAACUGGCCCUGAAAAUGGAUGGCGCUCGAGCGUCGGGCCUAUACCCGGCCGUCGCAGGCGAUGUACCGUUCCUUCGCGCGUCGCCUUCGCGCGGCGCGCGGUCCGUGCGCUACGCCGCGACGAGUAGGAGGGCCGCCGCGGUGGCGCUGAAGCCUUGGGCGUGGGCCCGGGUGGACCCGCCGCGGGUGCAGAUCUUGGUGGUAGUAGCAAAUAUUCAAACGAGAGACUUUGAAGGCCGAGGUGGAGAAGGGUUCCAUGUGAACAGCGCUUGGACAUGGGUGAGUCGGUCCUAAGUGACGGGCGAAGGCCUUGC
rnacentral:rRNA from 1 species